UACGUAGGAGGCGAGCGUUAUCCGGAUUUACUGGGCGUAAAGAGGGCGCAGGCGGUCUUUCAAGUCAAAUGUAAAAUCUCUCGGCUUAACCGGGAGGGAUCACUUGAUACUGUUAGGCUAGAGGGCAGCAGGAGGAGGUGGAAUUCUCGGUGUAGUGGUGAUAUGCGUAGAUAUCGGGAGGAACACCAGUGGCGAAGGCGGCCUCCUAGGCUGUUUCUGACGCUGAGGCCCAAAAGCGUGGGGAGCAAACAGGAUUAGAUACCCCCGUA
rnacentral:rRNA from 1 species